UGAGGUAGAGGUCGCGUUUGUUAUCAGUACCCCCGCCAAGGCCGGAAGCCAAUGACACGGGGUGAAAGGAACCGACGCCGAAAUCGCGGGUCGAAUCCGCGGUUGGGCUCAUGCCGAACAGGUAUGAGACUGUCUUUGAAGGAUUUACCACCCUUCAAAGGAGAGCUAUC
rnacentral:ncRNA from 1 species